rnacentral:snRNA from 1 species
GUACUCACUUCAGCAGCAUGUACACUAAAAUUGGAACAAUACAAAGAAAAUUAGCACAGCCCUGUAUAAGGAUGACACACAAAUUCAUGAAGCAAGUCAUAUUUUU